GACGAACGCUGGCGGCGUGCCUAAUACAUGCAAGUAGAACGCACAGUUUAUACCGUAGCUUGCUACACCAUAAACUGUGAGUUGCGAACGGGUGAGUAACGCGUAGGUAACCUGCCUGGUAGCGGGGGAUAACUAUUGGAAACGAUAGCUAAUACCGCAUAAUAUUGAUUAUUGCAUGAUAAUUGAUUGAAAGAUGCUAUUGCAUCACUACCAGAUGGACCUGCGUUGUAUUAGCUAGUAGGUGAGGUAACGGCUCACCUAGGCGACGAUACAUAGCCGACCUGAGAGGGUGAUCGGCCACACUGGGACUGAGACACGGCCCAGGCUCCUACGGGAGGCAGCAGUAGGGAAUCUUCGGCAAUGGACGAAAGUCUGACCGAGCAACGCCGCGUGAGUGAAGAAGGUUUUCGGAUCGUAAAGCUCUGUUGUAAGAGAAGAACGGGUGUGAGAGUGGAAAGUUCACACUGUGACGGUAUCUUACCAGAAAGGGACGGCUAACUACGUG
rnacentral:rRNA from 1 species